GUGGGGAAUAUUGGACAAUGGGCGCAAGCCUGAUCCAGCCAUUCCGCGUGCAGGAUGAAGGCCUUCGGGUUGUAAACUGCUUUUAUACGGAACGAAAAGCUUCUGGUUAAUACCCGGGGGUCAUGACGGUACCGUUAGAAUAAGCGCCCGCUAACUACGUGCCAGCAGCCGCCGUAAUACGUAGGGUGCGAGCGUUAAUCGGACUUACUGGGCGUAAAGCGUGCGCAGGCGGUGAUGUAAGCCAUCUGUGAACUCCCCGGGCUCAACCUGGGAACUGUAUCUGUGACGGGAUUGCUAGGGUGCGGCAGAGGUGGAUGGAAUUCCGGGUGUAGCAGUGAGAUGAGUAGAUAUUCGGAGUGACACCGAUGGCGAAGGCAAUCCCCUGGGCCUGCACUGACGCUCAUGCGCGAAAGUGUGGGGAGCAAACAGGAUUAGAAACCCUGGUAGUCC
rnacentral:rRNA from 1 species